GACGAACGCUGGCGGCGUGCUUAACACAUGCGAGUCGAACGGAAAGGCCCUGCUUUUGUGGGGUGCUCGAGUGGCGAACGGGUGAGUAACACGUGAGUAACCUGCCCUUGACUUUGGGAUAACUUCAGGAAACUGGGGCUAAUACCGGCUAGGAGCUCCUGCUGCAUGGUGGGGGUUGGAAAGUUUGGGCGGUUGGGGAUGGACUCGCGGCUUAUCAGCUUGUUGGUGGGGUAGUGGCUUACCAAGGCUUUGACGGGUAGCCGGCCUGAGAGGGUGACCGGCCACAUUGGGACUGAGAUACGGCCCAGACUCCUACGGGAGGCAGCAGUGGGGAAUAGUGCACAAUGGGCGGAAGCCUGAUGCAGCAACGCCGCGUGCGGGAUGACGGCCUUCGGGUUGUAAACCGCUUUCGCCUGUGACGAAGCGUGAGUGACGGUAAUGGGUAAAGAAGCACCGGCUAACUACGUG
rnacentral:rRNA from 1 species